AUGCUGUAUUUUUCAACUACUUUUCCUUCUUUGUUUCCAACUUUAACAUUCUAAUGACCAGUAAUUAUCAAUGCAUCUUGAUUGCACGUUUGAUCAAUCUCAGACUGCAGAAGUUGUUUAAAAUCUUCAAUUUCUUUGUCUUUGGCAUUGGUGGUUGGUGCAUAAAUUUGAAUAGUCAUAUAAACUGGUCUUCCUUAUAAGUGUAUGGAUAUUAGCCUAUCAGUGACAACAUUGUACUUCAGGCUAGAUCUUGAAAUGUUCUCUUUGAUGAUUAAUGUAACGUCAUUCUUUUGACUCUGGUGGAAUAUCCGUGUUUGUAAAACUGCUCACAGACUGUUUCACCAGAGAGUUUUCUGGUACUGCAAUAUCUACCACUAAUCUCUGUGAUCCCUGUGAAUUGGCAAAAUAAGAAUAGUGCUAUAGAUUUCUUCCAAAUACAGAAAACAUAAUUAUGAAAAUGUUCUUGCUAUUGAUUAUGUUCUUUACCAAUCCGUUCUGAUGGGAUUUUUGAUACUUCACUCGAAAAACGAGUCCAAGGUACUGUGAUGUGAUUGUUUACUUUGUGUGGCCUUUCUAGCCAUGGUCUUAUAACAUCUACCCUGGUACUUGGGCAGGACUGUGUGAUAGGGUAAUUGUGGCUCACCAAGGGGAUUGUUUAGUUUUCCCUUCAAAGAGAACCAGUUCCAGAGCAAAGAGGAGGAUUCAACUCCCAUCAAGGAAGAACAGCCAGGAGCUGAGCAUAUAUUAUGGACCUGAGAUCCCUGCACUGAGAAGCUCCUAGAAGCAGGAGACUGAGAUAGAGAGAGGAAGCUGUAACCCUGAAGACGGUAAGAUGCCAUGGCAGGAGAGACCAAGCAACAGGGACCCGGGUAUAGGAGAUGAUGGCCCAUGGAGAAGGAAAGCUGAGUGCCUUUGGAGAGAGUCCCAAGGCCAGGCAGAGGCACACCUAUGAGCACAGGAGGGAAGAGGCUGUCCUAAUAGAAGAACUGUAUUCUGAGUAUCUUUGAGCCUGAGUUAUAACUGUUACUUCCCUAAUAAACCCCAUAAUCAUGAAUAUGGACUGUGAGCUCUGUGUGGCCGUUGCAAUGAAUUAUUGAACCCAGCAGAGAAGUAGGGAGUGCUGUGUGAGGGACAGUUGGUGUCAGGGUUAGUGAAGAUGGUGGAGAGAGGAUAGUUUUUUCACCAAUGCCUUCAAUGCAGCUUCGAUUUCUUCCUUUUAUACCAUCAGUUCUUGAUCUUAUGCUACCUCUUGAAAUGGUUGAAAAUUAUCCAGUUCUACUGCAGUACUAUAUUAAUAUCAGACAAAUUAUACUUCAGAAAAAGGAGUAUUAUUGGGAAUAGGUAGGGACAUAACAAAAUAAAGGUUCACUUCUCCAAAAAGAUAAAACCAUCCUAAAUGUGUACAUAUUUAACAACAGGGCUCCAAAAUACAAAAACUAAUAAAUCUGAAAGGGGAAAUGGACAAAUACGCAUUUGUAAUUGGUAUCAGUACUUUUCUAUCAAUAAUUAAUAGAGCCCUGCUAGUCGAAGUCCAAAGCAUCUGUAUGAACCACUCAUGGAUGUCUAUGUGUGUGUGUAUGUAUAUAGUAUAAAGACAAGUAAUACAGAAAUAAACAUAGAGUCCUUGGGAGGUGCAAACGGUUAAUGCAUUCAGCUGCUAACCAAAAUGUUGGAGGUUUGAGUCCACCCAGAGGCACUUCGGAAGAAAGGCUUGGCGAUCUACUUUUGAAAAAUUAGCCGUUGAACUGACACACUUGUGUGUCACUACUACUCUGACACACAUGGGGCGAGGGGUCACCAUGAGUCAGAUCAGCUUGAUAGCAAUCAAAUGAUUUUUUUAUUCAUUCUGCCAGUGUUUGUCUUUUAAUUGGUAUCUUAGGCUGAGUUCUCUAGAGAAGCAAAACCAGUGAGAUAUAUAUAUGUAUGUAUUUAUAUAUAAAUAGAUUUAUAUCAAGGAAAUGGUUCCCGAGGCUGUAGAGGCUGGUAAGUCUCAAGUCCAUGGGUCAGGCUGGUGGCUUCUCCUGACUCACAUAGAUGCAGGGACUGCAGAACUCAAGAUCUGCAGGUCAUACAACAGGUCUGUGGCUCACAGGCUGCAAAGGCUGACAAAUCUCAAGAUCGGCAGGUAAGCUGGCAGGCCGCGGCUCACAGACUGCGGAGGCUGAUGAAUCCCAAAAUUGGAAGGUAAGCUGAGAGUUCAAGUCCCAAAAACUUGAGAUCAGAUGAAGAGGAGACAGCUGCAGGAUUCAGAGUGAGCAAAAGCUCAAGAGCCUUGCCAGAAAGUCCACCUAUAUUGGAUGCAGUCCACACCCCUGAGGAAACUCCCUUACAUCUGAUUGGCUACUCACAGCAGAUCCCAUCAUGGAGGUAAUCACAUUAUAUCACAUCUCAUCAUGGAAGUGAUUGCAUCGUUUUACGACUGCUAAACUACAUCAUAACUGCCAAAGCACUGAGAAUCAUGGUCCAACAAAGUUGACACACAACUUUAAUGAUCCCAAUUGUGAAUUUAAUCUAUUUAUAUUUAAAGCGAUUAAUGAUAAGGAAGGACUUAUAUCUUCUACUUUGUAAUAGUAGGUGAUAUACGUAUUUUGUUUCUCAUUUUCUUCACUACUGUCCACUUUUGUGUUUGAAUGAUUUUUUUUCAAGUGUACAAUUUUGAUCCUCUCCUUGUUUCCUUUCCUUAUAUUUUUUAACUUCUUAGUGGUGAGCAUGAGGAUUACAAUUAAUAUCUUAUAUUUAUAACAAUCUUCUUUUAAUUAAUACAAAUUUAGCUUCAACAGUAUAGAAAAUUCUGCUUUUAUUCAGCUCAAUUACCUCCCCUACUUACGUUGCUGAUACAAAAAUUGCAUCUUUAUACAUUGUGUGUCCAUUAAGAGAGAUGUGUAAGUAUUUUUAUGCAUUCGUGCUUUAAAUCAUAUAUGAAAAAAAGAGAGGCGUGAUAUAAAAAUAUUACUGACUUUGUUUUAUCUAAGUAGUUACCUUUACGGAGUCUUUGUUUCUUUUUAUGGCUUCCAGUUACUGUCUAGUGUCCUUCCAUGCCAGCCAGGAUGAUUCCCUGUAGCAUUUCUCAUAAGGCAGUUCUGCUGCUAACAUACUCCCUCAGGUUUUGUGUAUCUGGGCAUGUCUUAAUUUCGCCUUCAUUUUUGAAAGAUAAUUUUGCUAGAUAUUGACAUCUUGGUUCAUAGUUUUGUUUCUGUAUUUUUUUUCCAGUAUCUUAAAUACAUCAUCCCACUAUUUUCUCAUCUCAAUGGUGUCUGAUGAAAAAUCAACAGUUAAACUUGUUGAGACUCUCUUCUUGUACAUUAGGGGUCACUUAUCUCUUGCUACUUUCAAGUUUCUGUCUUCGUCUUUUGACAUUUUGAUUAUGUCUCUCUGUGGAUAUCUAUGUAUUUAUUGUCAUUUGAGUUUAUUGAGCUUCUUGGAUAUCUAGAUGACAUUUGGGAAACUUCCAGUCAUUACGUUUUCAAAUAUUCUUUCUGUCCUUUCAUCUUUCUUUCCUUUCUGGGACUCCUUAAUGAGUAUAUUGGUAUGCUUGAUGUUGUCCCGCAGGUCCCUUAGGCUCUGUUCAUUCUCUUCAUUCUUUUUCCUUUAUGCUCCUCAGUUAGAACAAUUUCAGUUGUGCUUUUUCAAGUUUACAUUUUCCUGCUUUCUUGCUCAAAUCUGCUGUUGAGCUCCUCUAAUGAAAAUUUUAUUUCAGCUAUUCUACUUUUCAGCUCUAUAAUUUCUAUUUGGUUCUUUUGUAUAAUAUUUCUUUAUUAAUAUUUUCUACUGGUUCAUACAUUCUUCUUUUGGUUUCCUUUUUUUUUUUGUCUAUGGUUUCUUGAGCUCUUUGAGGAAAUUUAAGACAAUUGGUUUAAAAUCUUUGUCUAGUAAUCCCAGUAUCUGUGUUUCCUUAGGGAUGCUUUCUGUUCAUUCUCUUCUUUCUUUCUUCUUAACAAAUGAACCAUCCUUUUCUUUUUCCUUUUAUGACUUAAAAUAGUGUGUUGAAAACUGGAUAUCUUAAAUAUUAUAAUGUAACUCUGGAAAUCAGAUUCCCUCCAGUCAUUAGGGUUUGCUUUUUUUUUUUUUAAUUGUUGAGGGCCAGUCAUCCAUUUGCUUAGUGAUGUUUCCAAACUAUUUCUGCAAAGAUUGUAUGUCUUCUCAUGUGUGGACACUGAAGUUCUGUUCUGUUAUGACAGCAGUCAGUUCAUGACCUGACAGUGAUUUCUUUAAAUACUUGUAGCCAAAAAGAAAAAGUAACAUUAUCCCAGUCUUUGCAGAUUGGCUCUGAACUGGGGUGUUCUUUCAGUGCUAAGCAAGAGCCCCUAAAACUCUGCCUUAGCCUUCACUUCCUGCCCCCGUGGAGCCCAAAGAUCAGCCAGAGGUGCAAGCCUAAAGCUUUGUCAGGAUCUUUAUGAGCAUGUCUUCAUCCUUAGGCAAGAAUAUUGCACUCCAGAUUCCUCAGUAUAUGUGGUAGCCCUUCAAAGCCCUUAAACCACCAACCAUUGUCCUCUCAGCCCCCUUUUUUCCAAGCUUUUGGAUGUCUCUGCUGUUUUCUCUGUCCUUCAUCCUUUGACCCUGGAGGUAGGACCAAUUCUUAUACCUUUGUACUGCUCAGUUUCCAUCACAUCAUACCUUUUUUCUUAUGUGCUGUUGAGUCAGUUCUGACUCAUAGUGACUAUAGGAUGGAGUAGAACUUCUCCAAAGGGUUUCUAAGGCUGUAAUCUUUAUGGAAGGAAACUGUCAUAUCUUUCUCCUGUGGAAUAGUUGGUGGAUCAAAUCAAAAGAUUUAACAGCUGAGUGCUUAACCACUGCACUACUGGGGCUCCUUUUGACAUCAUGCAUCAUAAUAGAUUUUUAACACACCCCUCAGAAACAUAGAAGUCCAUAAAUUGUCAAGGAUACAGAAGAUUUAACAUGUAUAAAAAUACCAAAUUGAUAUAUGUGUAUGUGUGUGCAUUAUCUAACCACUAAAGAAUAUACAUUCAUCUCAUGCAUAUACAUAGUGUUUAUAAAAAUUAACUGUAUACUGUGUUAUAAAGCAAGUCUCAACAAAUUUCAAGAGUCUGCAAUAAUAUAGAGGAUACUGUGUAAGUACAGCAUAAUUAAAAAAAAAAUCUUAGAAAAAGAAAAUACAAAAUCUCCAUGUGCUUGGAUAUUUUAAAAUACUAGGCGUUAGAAAAGACAUCAUAAUGAAAAUUAGAAUAUAUUUUGAAGUGAACAAUUAUGAACAUAGUGCAUAUAAAAAUUGGUGCAGUACAGACAAUAUAAAAUAGGAAACUUAUAGCCUGAAAAAUAUAAUUGGAAAGAACAAAUUUUGAAAAAUAAGUGAGUUAAACAUCCAUUCAAAAUGUUGGGAAAAAAACAGAAACAAACAUUCAUAGGAAUUUUUGUUUCUAUUAAUGAUUGGAUACAUGCAAAAGACGAUCAACGAAGACUAAAGUUGAUUCUUAGAAAAUGCUAGUAAAAUUGAGAAACUUUAGGCAAGAUUGAUCAAGUGAAAAAGAAUGAAGGUAUAAAUAACGAAUAUCAGGAAUUAGAAAGAAAAUGACUACAGAUCUUGCAGAACUUAAAGAUAAUGUGAGAAUGUUAUGAACCAUAUUAGCUAAUAAAUUUGCAAAUUUAGGUAAAGUAGGCAAACGUAUCAUACCAUGUAAGUUAAUAACAACGAUUCAAGAAGAAACAGGAAGCAAAAGUAAUUCCACAAUUGUUAAUAGAAUUGAAUUGGAGCUCAAACUAUUCUCAAAAAGAAAACUUCAUGUCAGAUGGCUUUUCCUGCAAAUUCUGCCAAAUAUUCAAGAAAUACUUCACAAAUUCUUCAAUAUAAAAUGAAAUAUAUACCCAAACUCAUUUUAUAAAGCUUGUAGAAUGAAUAUUGAUACCAAAACCUGACAAGAGCAGCACAAGAUGGGAAAAUUACAGGCCAAUGUCACUGAUGAACAUAGAUGCAAAAUAUAAAAAGAAAUAGGCAAAACAAAUCCAGCAAUACUCUAAAGAAGAAUAUAUUAUGACCAAGUUCGGUCUAUCCCAAGAAUUCAAGGUUAGUUUAACAUUCAAAAAUGAAUCAGUAUAAUUUGCCAUAUGUACAGGAAAAAUAAAUGUGAUUAUACUAAUAGGUGUAAUAAAAUAAGUAUUUGAUAACCUCCAGCAUCCACUCAUGUUUUUUAAAAGAACAUCUAGCAUGCCAUGAGACCAGAAGAACCAGAAGGUUCCCGGCUACUGUCGCUGAACAUUUUGAUCAAAGAGUCCAUAGAAAAGCCCUGAUCAAAAGGGGGAAAAUGCAGAACAGAAUUUCAAAUUCUCAUGAACCCUAGACUUUUUGGAGCCAUUGAGGGUGAAUGAACUCCUGAAACUAUUGCCGUGAGAUAAUCUUUAAACAUUACACCAAAAGCAUUCCGUUGAAUCAUCUUAAAACUGAAGUAUAAAAAAGGAAACACCAUACUGUUGCUGUUGAGUUGAUUCCGACUCAGAGACCCUGUAGGACAGAAUAGCACUGCCCCAUAGAGUUUCCAAGGUGUAGGUGGUGGAUUCAAACUGCUCUUCUUUUGCUUGGCUACCGUAUCACUUAACCACUGUGCCACGAGGGCUCCAGAACAUUAGCUACUUAACUAAUAAAAAUGGUCUACCUUGAGCAUAUGCUCUUUUAAGAACUGUCUAUAUGGCAUCAGAUUGACAACAGCUACUGAAAAGAUUAGAUAGGAACCUUAAGGAGCAGUGGGUUUAUGCUAAUGACAGAGGAACUACUCAGAAAAGGAGGGUAAGAAUGGUUGCACAACUUGAAUGUAACCAGUGUCGUUAAAUUGUACAGGUAGAAACUGUUGAGUUGGUGUAUGUUUUGCUGCAUAUAUUCUCAACCACAAAAAAUACAUUUACAGGUAAUAAUUAACAAAAAAUGUCAAGGAGAGCUAAAUAUUUUGAAAAUAAGACAGAGUUGCAUGUGAGGGAAUGAGUGGGGUGAGCUGUUUUAGAUUAAUAGUUAGUAAAGGCUUAUGGGAUCAGGAUAUUUGAGGAGAUAACUGACCUAUAUCAAAGGAGAGAAUAGCUGUAUGAAGUUCUGGAGGGAGGAUAUUGCCAAUAAAGGAAAGAGUUGUUUCUGAGGCCCUUAAAUAACCAAGUGUUCUGGCAUGUUUUGAGGAAGCUCAGGAAAUAAGUCAUGGCUAGUGUGGAGUGAACCGAGGGAAGACUGUUAGGAAAUGAGGUUAGUAUGGUGGGCAAGCCCCGCAUCAUGAAAGACCAUGGGAAGGAUUUGGGAAUUUUUCCUAAUUGCCAUGAGAAGCCACUGAGGUGAUGCUGUUAUGUAGACUGUAAGAGGGAAGAUCGGUGGCAUGGAGUCCAGUUUUAACCAAGAGAUGAUGGUGGCUGUAAGGUGGAGGUAGUGAGAAGUGGAUAGAGUCAGGAUUUAUUUUAAGGUAGCGCCAAGAGUCCAGAAUAUGUGUCAAUGGAUUGGAUACAAGAUUUGAAUAAAGGAGAGAAAUCAAGGAUGAUUUCUAGGUUUUUGUCCUGAACAACCCAGACGAUAGUGAGAACAUUUGCUGAGAUAAGGAAGACUGGGAGGUAGAUAAGACACUUGGACGAAGAAUUUUAUUUGAACCACAUUAAGUUUGAGAUGCCUAGUAGACAUUCAAGGGGAGAUGUGAGGUCAGCCAUUUGUGAAGGAACAACAGGGCAGAGUAUGUAAAAUGAGGGUAUCCUAGGGCUCAGGUGGAAUUGACUGCCAUGAAUUGGCUCAGAUAACCUAGAUAGUGAGAAGUAAUGAAUGAUGUUACUUAAACAGGGCAUGGAAAUCAAUGAAAAAGGUGUGGGAGUGGCAGGGAGGCUAAGGUAGAGAAGUUUCUCUCUCCCUAAACCUGAUUAGCUGGAUUUGAAGACAUCAUAAGUUCCUGUACGAGAAAUAUCCAGCAAAUUACCAGUUGAUUUAAUAAAUUGAUAACAAAGUCUACCUUUCAGCCAAAGAUUGAAAAACAAACAAACCAAUUGCCAUCCAGUGAAUUCUGACUCUUAGCAACCCUCUAGGACGGAGUAGAACUACCCCAUACGGUUUCUAAGGAGCAGCUGUUGGAUUCAAACAGCAGACCUUUUGGUUAGCAGCUGAGCUCUUAACCACUGCACCACCAGGCUCAAACCAAGAAUAACACACAUGAGGAACUUACUCCUUAGUUCAAUCAAGUAUGUAGAAAUUCAAAUUUGUGAUUUUGGAGAUUCCCCCUCUUUUUUUUCAAAGUGGGGGGCAUUGAGAUGGAGGAUUUUCCUAUGCCCACCAUCCUAAGGGAUUUAAUUAACCCAUAGUUGAGACAUUGUACACAUCUCAAGAAAUUAUUACCUUUGAGAAACUUGAGGGUGAGUAGGCAUAUCACCUGGCUCCUCUUAAACUCCUUUUAAAAACCUGACUUGAAGACUCACCUGCCUUUUUGAAUAAGUGCCAGCUUGAAUAGGCAGGGUUCAGGGAAUUGCCAACCAAAGGUAUGGUUUCUCCAGAGGCCUCCAAGGGGUGUAAAAGAAGAGUGGAGCCAGACCCCGUGCUUGGGACACACCCUUGGUAGGAAAUAUUUGAGUGUGUGUGUGGUGAGGGGAGCACUCGGUGUGGGAGAGUGGGGUGGGUGGGUAAUAGGGAAAUGCCUGUUUUUUUUGUUUUUUUUCUGGUUUUAAGAAACAGUUUUUUACUUUUUUUUUUUUUAAUUACAACGAACAGUUCAGUGGAGACAUGUUCCUUAUCUGCACGGGCUAGUGGAAUUGCUGAUAGCUGAGAAUGUAGCCUGCUCCCCAAGUGCGAGUUGGCAUUUUGGAGAGAAAUCUUGAUGUUUGGAGCACUGACUGGCCCUGCCUUUUCUAAAUAAUUAAGGGUGGUGGGGUGGUGGUAAGAGAAAGAGGAUGGUCUAUGAACACUGACCCUGGAAAAUUAACUCCCAAGUGUGUGGGUUGUGGAUAACAGGAAAAGAACAUCACCCGCAAAUGACAGCAGCGCCUUUAUUUAUUUAUUUAUGUUUCUUUUUAGUUCUGAGUUGUUUUUAAGCCACAAAUUAAUGGGGCCACCAUGAGUUUUCAGAGAAUGAGUUUUACAAAAAUCUAAGUGUUUUAAAUAUUGCAAGGAUUUACUUAUAUAUGCUGUAUAUGAGAAAAGUCCUUACAGUUACAGGGAGGAGAAAGAAAGUAUAUUCAGGAAUUAAAUUUUCACAGUUCUCUGAAUUCUUAUAUUUCUCUUGUUGUCCAUUUUUCUUUUUUUGUCCUUCAUCCACCUCUUCCACCUUUACCCACUGUCUUCAUCAUCUAGUGCUGCCAUAACAGAAAUACCAUGAGUGGAUGGCUUUAACCAAGAGAAAUUUAAUACCUCACAUUAAAGUAGGCGAAUAGUCCAAGGCAUCAGCUCUAAGGGAAAGUUUUCUCUCUCUUUCGGCUCUGGAAGAAGGUCCUUGUCCUUAGCCUUCCCAUGGUCAAGGAGCUUCUCAGGUGCAGGGACCCUGGGUCCAGAGGACAUGCUCUGCUCCUGGUGCUGCUUUCUUGAUAGUCUGAGGACCCCAACUCUCCGCUUGCUUCCCUUUCCUUUUACCUCUUGCGAGAUAAAAGGUGGUGCAGGCCACACCUCAGGGAAAGGUGACCUGAGUGAGGGUGGUGUUACAAUCCCACCCUAAUCCUCUUACAGUAAAAUUACAAUCACAAAAUGAAGGACAACUAUGCAAUAGUGGGAAUCAUGGCCUAACCAAGUUGAGACACACAUUUUUUAGGGUCAUAAUUUAAUCCAAACCAAAUCAAACUUGUCACCAUCAAGUUGAUUCCAACCCAUACAGACCCUAGUUGAUAUUAACUCAUAGAGACCCUAUAGCAUAGAGUAGAACUACCUCAUAGAGUUUCCAAAGACUAGUUGGUGGAUUCGAACUGCUGACCUUUUGGUUAGCAGCUGAGCUCUUAACCACUAUGCCACCAGGCCUCCUCUUGAUACACAGUCCACCCUAAUACACCACUGUGUUAGAAAAAGGUUUUGCUAUUCUGAAAUAAGAACUUUUUACUAUACUUUUGUGUUCGUGGUUGCUUUUGAUAUGUCUUUAAGCACUGAACAGUUAACUCAUACCCAUUAAAAACCCAUUGCCACUGAGUCUAUUCCAACUCAUAGCGGCCCAAUAGGGCAGAGCGGAACUGUGCCAUAGACUUUCCAAGGAGCGCCUGGUGGAUUUGAACUGAUGACCUUUUGGUUAGCAGCUGUAGCUCUUAAACAGUACACCACCAGUGUGGGAGGGGUUUAAUUGAUAACAUGAUGUCUGGGCUCCAAGGGAGAUGGAAUGGAUGUGCAGGAGAAGGGCAUGCAGAGUCAGCCUGUAUAGUCCCCUGAACUCUGUUCAAGAUCAUAACACACCUCAGUAAUCACUUGAAUCUAAACAUACAACUUUAACAGUUGAUGUAAAUGACUUUACACAUGAAUUUUGGAACGCAACUAUUUCUCGAUGGAAGUUUCUUCAACUAAGCUGUUUGUAUUCCCUUAAUAAUUAUGAAAGCUAACAUUUAUUGUGUUCAUUCUGUGUGUAAGGCCUUUUUCUAAGUGCCUUGUGUGUUUUAUUUAACCUGCGUAACAACCUUUUGAAUAAGACCCAUUUUAGAAAUGGGAAACUGAGGCAGUGAGAGGUAAAGUAACGUGCCCAGAUCAACCAGCUGAUAGAUUGAGUUAGGAUUUAAACCCAGGCAGUUUGUUUCAGAAUUUGCUUAUGUAAUCACUGUACAUGACAGCAGUGAGCCCUAGUGGCUGUGUGGCUAAAGAACUUGGCUGCUAACUGAAAGGUCAGUGGUUCGAACCCACCAGCCUCUCUGCAGGAGACAGAUGUGGCAGCUUGCUUCAGUGAAGACUUACAGCCUUGGAAACCCUAUGUGGCAGUUUUACUCUGUCCUUUGGGGUCACUAUGAGUUAGAAUCGACUUGAUGACAGUGGGUUUUGGCACAUAAUACUAAUGUGCAGUGUAUUCUGUAUGCCGUGUAUAUGUUCAGAAGCUAAUUUUCCCAACAUUUAUGCCAUAUAUAGAUUACCAAUCCAGUUGCCGUUGAGGAGAUUUUCACUCAUGACGACCCCGUGAGUUUUCAGAGUAGGACUGCCCUCCAUACGGUUUUCAAUAGCUGUGACCAUUUGGAGGUAGAUUGCCAGGCCUUUCUUCCAAGGCAACUGAGUGGAUUUAAACUGCCAACCUUUCAGUUAGUAGCUGAGCACUUAACUCUUUGUGCCACCUAAUACAUAUAUAUACUAGGAGGUUUUCCUCCUUAUUUGUACUUUAAUGUUUUGUAGCCUCUUAUGAAUACUUGUUCCUGGCAGUGAACUAGAUGCUAAAGAACAGAAUAGGCACAUGUAACCCUCUCUCACCUUCUCCCUCCCCUCUUGCACAGAGAUGAAAUGAAAAGGAAUUAAUGAGGACAGAUUAUUGGAUUAGGGCCCACACUCAGGGCUCUAACAGCAUGGGGAGUUUCUCCUGUCACUUCAGUUCUUGUUCAGGAAUUGGCACCUGCUUUUUGUGAAUCACAAAGACCAGUGCUUUAUAUCAAGCCAUUUAGAUUUGGGGUAUGGAGCAGUGACUUAAAAAAAUUAAAUUUUAUUUUCAGAGAUUUUUUCUAUUAAUUGUUUACAUUUAUUUUAAUUGUAUAUUCUGAAACCGCUACAAAAAGGCAUGAAAUAAUUGUUUAAAUUUUAAUUCGUAUGGGUCAAAAUGUAUGUUAAACUACCUAUCGUCGCCUUCACAGUCGUUGUUAUGUUUGAGCCGAUUGUUGUGGCCACUUGUUACCAAGUAUGACUUUCUUCUCCAGGGACCGAUCUCUCCUGACAACAUGUCCAAAAUAUGUGAGAUGAAGCCUCGCCAUUCUUGCUUCUAAGGAAUAUUCUGGCUGUACUUCUUUCAAGACAGAUUUGUUCAUUCUUUUGGCAGUCCGUGGUAUAUUCAAUAUUCUUUGCAAAUACCGUAAUUCAGUGCCUUCAAUUUUUCUUUAGUCUUCCUUAUUCAUUGCCCACCUUUCGUGUGCGUAUGAGGUGACCGAAAACACCAUGGCUUGAGUCAGGGGCACAUUAGUUUUCAAGGUGACAUCUGUGCGUUUGAACACUUUAAAGAGGUCUCUGGCAGCAGAUUUGCCCAAUGCAACGUGUCAUUUGAUUUCUUGACUGCUGCUUCCAUGGGUGUUUAUUGUGGAUCCAAGUAAAAUGAAGCCCUUAGUGAUGUCAACAUUUUCUCCGUUGUCCUGAUGUUGCUUAUUGGUCCUGUUGUUAGGCUGUUGGUCUGUAGUCUUUGAUUUUCUUCAGUAAAUGCUUUAAGGCCUCUUCACUUUCAACAAGCGAGAUUGUAUCAUCUGCAUAUCUCAGGUUAUUAAUGAGUCUUCCUCCAAUCCUGACGCCUUAUUCUUCUUCAGACAGUCCAGCUUCUCGGAUUAUUUGCUCAGCAUACAGGUCGAAUAGGUAUGGUGAAAGGAUACAAUGGAGAUGCACACCUUUCUUGACUUUAAACCAUGCAGUAUUCCUUGUUCUGUUUAGAUGACUGCCUCUUUUUCUGUGUACACGUUUCUCCUGAGAACAAUUAAGUGUCCUGGAAAUCUCAUUCUUCCCCAUGUUAUCCAUAAUUUGUUAUGAGCUGGAGUAGGUCUCAGAAAUAAUGUGCCAUUUCUUCCAGUUGGUUCUGCACGGCUGCCUGCUUCCCUAGGUGGUAGCAAGUAAGGCCUGUCUCAGAAACACUCCCCUCCUCACUAAGCAUGAUUCUUCACACUGCUCCAUCUUCUUUCCCGUGUGUGUUUCCUGCCCUCCUCAGUGGCUGGGGAAAAUGAUAGUAGUCCACUAUGAGAUUUAUUCUUUUAUUAUACUUUAUUUUAUCAUUUGUUUUUAUAACAUAGUUCCGUUAAAAUCAAGGGUAAUAAAAAUGUUUGUGUGAUGGAAGUGGAUAAUCCCACCCAUUGUGUCCAUCUAAAGUUUCAUGAGAAAACUGUGCCCACAACAGAGGGCUCCCACUCCUCUGGCUCACUGUAUUUUCUCCUUGUUUAUUUGCUCUUCCCUCUUUCCUGAUGCAUGCAUGGGACCACUGAGCUUCAGGACUCCACAAUUCUGCUUUUCAUACCAGUGUUACUGUAAUCUUGGGUUCAUGGGCUGCCUUGCCACAGAUUUACUCAUUCUGUUUCUGUUGAUUAUUUCAUUACUUAAAAAUCUCUCAUGAAUUUUUCCAGAAGUACAUUCUAUUCCUCAAAAACUUGGAAGCAAUGGGAAAGUAUGCAAUAAAUAACAAGAAAACAUACGUAAUGCAUAGAAUAAAUUACUAACGUUCCGAUAUGUCUGUUAUCUUACUUACAUUGGCAUGUAUGUGUGUUAGAGUCUCUGGUUGGUGCAAAUGGUUAAUAUCUUGAGCUGCUGACAGAAAGUUGGAGUUCAGGUCCACCCAGAAUUGCUAUGAAAGAGAGGUCUGGCAGUCUACUUCCGAAAACUCAGCCAUUGAAACCCCUAUGGAGUACAGUUCUACUCUGGCACGCUGGUGUCAUCAUGAAUCAGAACUGACUCAAUGGCAACUGGUUUUAUGUGUGUAUUAGCACACACAUUUAUGUAUAUUAACACGGAUAUUAUAUCCUGAUAUUUUCAUUCAUCAUUAGUCUUUUCUCAUGAUAAUUUUUUUUGUUUUUUUUAAUGAGAGCAUUAAAUUACUUUAUAAUAUUCUGUGUGCAUGUAGUAUAUUUUUUUUAACAAUUUGAACUAUAGUUGCAAUAAUAAAUGUGCAUGUUUCUAGUAAUCUUCAACGUAUACUUACAUCUUUUUAACAUACAUCUCUGCCAUUAAAUCUCUUUGUUUAAUUAUUGUUUAACACUCUUUACGCCUAAGAGAUGGUCUCAGAAGCAGCCCUGAUCAGUUUUUCUCCCUCUUACUCAUGAAGCUCCUUAAUGUAUCCCAAGGUAUCAACUACGAAGGAUUUUACGUACUUAUCGUUUAUUUUUCAUUCAGUCAGUAUAUUCCAUGGGCCAGAAGUAGUCUAUGUUAUGCAGAUACAGUGGUGAAAGGUACACACUGCCCCUGUCCUCAUGAAGGGGACAACCCAGUGCAGGUGGGAGGGGCACUGGGGAAAUGCAGCUGAGAGCAAGGACAGACAACCCUCCAGGAACCACACUGGACUUCAGAGAGGCUUGUUGGCUGCUGUUCACCUGGCAGGCUUCUAGAUACCCGAGUACCCUUGGGCUUGGUGCCUGUUCCUCUCUCUAUUGACACCCUCUCUCUAGGAUGCCUCAGUGAGUUUACUGCUGUCUAUUUGUAGCUAAGGACGUGAGGUUUAUACCUCCAUCCAUUCAAACUCCUCCUGGGUCCAGACUCAUAUAUUCAAAUGUGAGCCUAGCUCUCUGUAUUGACCUCUUUAGGCAUUAUAAUGAUACAUUCCUCAUAUGGCCAUCAUGAAAAGCAAACAUGAAAGAAAAAGCACAGGAGUGCCUGGCACCAGUGUAGGUACUCAAUGAACAUUAGCUGUUGGUAUUAUCCUUGACAUCCCCAUGUGGGGUGAAGUUUUAUUACCUGACAUCUCCAUGUGAAUAUCUAACACCUGUACCAUGUUAUCUAGGCUAUGAAACAAUUCUUGGUUCCAACCACCAUUCUUUUCUUAUCCAUGAAUUUCUCAAGGCUUUGGUGAUGGGAUUGUGUGUUUUUCCACACAAUGGACUUGAUUAGGAAUGGUUGGCCAGGUCCUACACAAUAAAUUGCUCUAGCAUUCCUUUGGGUGACCAUUGAGACAAGUUUCAGCCAACGAAUGUAGCAAAGAAUUGGAACCACUCUCAGCUGUUCAUGCGAGUACUCUCAAUCCAGAAUAUCUGGUAAGUCGACUGUUAGGGAUUGAAUUGUGUCCCUCCAAAAUGUCUGUGGAAAUCCUAACCCCUGUACCUGUAAAUCUGACCUUGUUAGGAAAGAGGGGGCCUGCUUUUAUUAUGUGAAUGAGGUCAUACCAAUGUAGGGUGGGUCCUAAGCCUAACUCUUCUUAGUUAUAAAAGGAGCAGAAUACACACAGACUCAAACAGGUGAAAAGGAAGACAGACAAAGAAGACAGAUGCUUCUAGAAGGCCAGGAACACAAAUGAUUGCUGGCAUCUACUAGAAGCUGAGGUAGACAAGGAAGGACCUCCCACUACAGCCAUGCCCUGAAUUCGAACGACCACCUGCUAAACUGUGAGAAAAUAAAUUUCUGUUCUUUAAAGCCAUCCAGUUGUGUUAUUUUUUGUUAUGGAGGGACUAGGUAACUAACACACAUAAGACCCGUUCUUAUAAGUUCAGCCCAGUGCAGAAUAAUUUUCUUCCCUCCUUGGUCUAGACCACCCGAACCUGCUCUUUCCCUAUCAGUGUCCUUUGCUUUCACCUAAGAGCUAUGACAGAGUCAGCUUGAUGCUGAUGCAUUGAAAUUUCAAUUUAUUUUUUAUUUAUGAUUACUAUUAAUUCCGGUAUUUUCUACAGUUUUCAAUGGAGACAGUCCUAUAAUCUAUGAAUAGCAGUUAUACUUUUUCUCUUUUUGUACUAGCUUACACUUCCGGUGUUCAAUGUUUAAUAAAAGUAAUGAUAGAAGCACCCUUAUUUUAUUGUUUAUUAAUUUUAAAGAGAAUGUCCCACACGUCACCAUGAACUAUCAUGCUAGUUGUAGUUUUCCACGUUCGGGAACUCCUUUUCUGUUCCAUAUUUGCUCCUAGUCCUUAUCUCUCCAUGUGAUUGGAUUUUAUCAACCUGCUUUGCCCCCAUCUCUUGAGGUGAGCAUAUGUCUUCUCUUCUUUCACCUAUGCAUGUGGUGAAUGAAAUUACUAAAUCUUUAACGUUCACUCAAAUUUGUAUGCCUACAUGAUCAUGGCAUGUUACGUGGUUUAUACUUUGCUGGAUUUCCUUUGCUGGCAUCUUACGUAGAGUUUUGCAUCUCAGUUACUGAGUGUGCUUGUCCUCUAACUCUUCUUCUACCAUCCUUCUCUAAUUUGUUAUCAUUUUUAAACUAGCCUUAAGGAUCAAGUUAGGGGAGUAUCUCAUGGUUUUCUAAUCUCUGUUGACUAUGUACAAGAUUAAAAUGACUGUUUCUUGCAUGUUUGCUGGAACCUGACUGGAAACGAUCUAGGUCUGCCGUUUUCUUUUUAGGGAGAUCUUGAACUACUGACCCAUUUUAUUUAGUGGUUAAAGGCAUCUUCUGGUGCUAAUUUACUUAGAAAAAAUUCUGAUGCAUGUUCUAGGUUGCUCGAAUCUCAUCUUCAAAUAUUGAUUAUCAGGGCUUGUAGCCUCAUGCAAGGCAAUUCAUCAAUCCCAGAUUUCCCCAAAGUCAGGCUCUGCAACUCUUCCCGGUACCAAAUUCCCUCAUUUAAGACUUAUUUGCAAAGAGACAACAGUAUGCUAUCUACGCGGUUGUUUAUCCGCAACUUUCUUGAGUCCAUAAUGUGAGGAUACAGUCUUCUAAUACUUUUUUUGUAAUUGUUCUCUUUCUUAUUUUUUUUUUUUUUGCUUUUUUCACUGCCAAUAACCUCCCCCCCCCGUCUAGUAGUUUUAAAGUUGUGCGUUUCAGGUUCAAGUCUGUAAUCCAACUGAGCUUCUGUGUGUGCUGCAUGUGUACAUCAAAAGAACACGCUUCUAGAAGCAGAAAGCAGGCAGUGCGACUGUUGGGUGGUUGGCGGGGGAGGGGGAGGGGAGCUGCUGCUCAGAGAGGGCUCCCAAGGGAGGCACGAGAUGCCGGGCUGCCCACUGCAAGCCCACAGGCUCCAAGGAGGAGGAACCUGAGUGCGCCAUGAGCCUUUUGAGACAGGCCCAAGCCCACCCAGCCGGGUGCUAACCUCGCAUCCGCCAGGCUUGCAGGUUCCACCAGGACUAGGGAAGCCUAAGGCCAAGGAGGGCAAGGUCUAGGGUCUGGACCUGAGAACUGGUUCUGCCACUUGUGAUCGCAGCGCUUAUGCUGGAAAGGAGGGCAGAAAGCAUAUCGCAACGUGUGUCCGGACGAUGACCCAGAACGGGGGAGUUGUGGUCACCCACGGACUCUGGGUCUGCAUAUGGAGGCCCCCAGGGUGCAAUUCCAGGAGCAGAAGGCAAAGCCACAGAGGCCAAAGUGCACCUCGCCGAUGCUUCCCAGGGGCAUUGCCCCAAAUAUGGGGAGCAGUCCCUCCUCUGGGCUAGGGACUUUGUUUCCUCCAUUGUCAUCACUGACUGUGAGCAGACUCUAGUCUAUGCAGACUAAUGAGGAGUUAUCAAAAUGAGCUCCAAACUCCAGAUUUGAGUUAAGGAUCAUAAAUUAACACAGAGAAAUACGACUUUAGCAAUAUGUGACUGUUUGAAGCCCAAGUUGCCUUAAAACACGGAAUUUCAGUCUUUCAGCUCCUCUGCUAAUCUAGUGACUAAGAACAGGAUCUCACUGGAGCUCAAAGAUGUGGGGCACUGGGAAUACUCUGGGUCUGUCUGCUCACGGCUGAUUGCCUGAUCCCAGUUUUAUUAUACAGCUUAAAUACAGACCAGAAGAGGAGUUUGGGGCUUGACACCUGACGUCUUAACACCAGUUCCUGUUUCUUGAGGAAGGAAGAGGUAAAAUAAAUCAGCGUUUACUGUGUCCUUCUCCAUCCCCGGAAGUCUUCAUGAAGACCCUCUCAGCUUCUACUUGAACGUGAAUAUGAGCAACUGAUCAUCUGUUCUGCGGUCAGCCCCUGGCCUGAUUCUGACUCAUGAUAUUGACCUUCUCCAUCAUCACCUUCCACAAAUUUGAUUCCUAUCUAUUCUGCCUGGAAUAGUUCAUGAGUAUAGUCACCAUUUAUGUUCCUGACGAAAGACAUUAUGCUCAUUCUCAGGGCCCUGAGACCUCAUCUGCAGCAGGUGAAGGCAUUCGUGGAGAGAGGCGGUUUCCGUGCGUGCAGGCAAAGUGUGUGCUGAGAUGAGUCGCUGGAGACUGGGGUGGACUCCUCAGACCCAGGAUAGGCCUCUGGCAGGUAUAUGUCAAUGUUUUCUGCCCAUGGCACUCACCCGGAUAUUUGCAUACAAUGUUAUCAGUGGAAUUAGUAGUCUCCAGAGAGGCUGCCACAUGUCAGCAAGCUUCACCUGGCCAGGUCCGCCCAGGAUGUAGCUCCCCAAUC